CCUUCGGGGUGGAUCAGUGGCGAACGGGUGAGUAACACGUGGGCAAUCUGCCCUGCACUCUGGGACAAGCCCUGGAAACGGGGUCUAAUACCGGAUAUGACCUGGGACCGCAUGGUUCUGGGUGUAAAGCUCCGGCGGUGCAGGAUGAGCCCGCGGCCUAUCAGCUUGUUGGUGGGGUAAUGGCCUACCAAGGCGACGACGGGUAGCCGGCCUGAGAGGGCGACCGGCCACACUGGGACUGAGACACGGCCCAGACUCCUACGGGAGGCAGCAGUGGGGAAUAUUGCACAAUGGGCGAAAGCCUGAUGCAGCGACGCCGCGUGAGGGAUGACGGCCUUCGGGUUGUAAACCUCUUUCAGCAGGGAAGAAGCGCAAGUGACGGUACCUGCAGAAGAAGCACCGGCUAACUACGUGCCAGCAGCCGCGGUAAUACGUAGGGUGCGAGCGUUGUCCGGAAUUAUUGGGCGUAAAGAGCUCGUAGGCGGCCUGUCGCGUCGGAUGUGAAAGCCCGGGGCUCAACCCCGGGUCUGCAUUCGAUACGGGCAGGCUAGAGUGUGGUAGGGGAGAUCGGAAUUCCUGGUGUAGCGGUGAAAUGCGCAGAUAUCAGGAGGAACACCGGUGGCGAAGGCGGAUCUCUGGGCCAUUACUGACGCUGAGGAGCGAAAGCGUGGGGAGCGAACAGGAUUAGAUACCCUGGUAGUCCACGCCGUA
rnacentral:rRNA from 1 species